AAUCUUCACAAUGCGCGCAAGCGUGAUGAGGGAAUCCCAGGUGCCCUUGCACUGCAAGGGCUUUUGUGGAGUGUAAAAAGCUCUACGAAUAAGGGCUGGGCAAGACCAGUGCCAGCCUCCGCGGUAACACCGGCGGCCCGAGUGGUAACCGUCUUUAUUGGGUUUAAAGGGUCCGUAGUCGGCUUAUUAAGUCUUUUGGGAAAUCUGGCGGCUCAAUCGUCAGGCGUCCAAGAGAUACUGGUAGGCUUGGGACC
rnacentral:rRNA from 1 species